GGAGAAGUCGCCUAGUCCGGUCGAGGGCGCACGAUUGGAAAUCGUGUAGGGGUCAAAAGCCUCUCGAGGGUUCGAAUCCCUCCUUCUCCGCCA
rnacentral:tRNA from 1 species